GCGUACGGCAGCCAACGUCGUUACGCUCGCUCGCUUGUCGGCGUCACGCGGAAGCACAUUGCGAUACGUCCUGUGUGAGCAGACGGUUCGUAUCAGUACCUGCGUCAAGUAGGGAAAUUCUAUGCGGUGUAGAUAAAGCUGACACCGCGUAGGCAGGACGGCACAUCUACCAUGGAAACUUCAACGAGGACGCUAGUGCUUGUGCUGCUCGUACUGCUUUGCUCCAGUGUACUCCUGGAAGCGGGGCGCGUAGUCCGAAGUGCUGGAUGCCCAAAUCGCUCAUGCAGCGACGAUGGUGACUGCGCUUUCCUUUGUCAGUGCGUCACUGAUGCUUAUGGAAACGGGAGGUGCAAGGGGGACUGAAGAAUGUUGAAGGGCAACAAGGUGAAAAUCCGAUGUUGCGUCUGCGCCACCCACCUCCUUUUGCAUGUCGACAUAACCCAGAAACAAAUAUGAACUGAUUCAGCACAACAGCUCGAAGCGAAACAACAGGAUCAGGUCCAGCACCCUCAGAUUUUCUGCUAAGUACAAGGUGUUUCUUCGAGCUCGAGUACUCGGGCUCGCACUAUUGGCUCUUGCACGAGAAAAUAAACACUGAAUAAACGAACAGAGAAUUGGUUGGUGAUUGCCUUCUUGGCAUCCAAGCCUUA